rnacentral:rRNA from 42 species
UUAAAUUGAAGAGUUUGAUCAUGGCUCAGAUUGAACGCUGGCGGCAGGCCUAACACAUGCAAGUCGAACGGUAACAGGAAG